rnacentral:rRNA from 1 species
GGGGGUACGAGAGGGCCGCUACCACGCGAGUGGAUGCCAAUCCCCAAAACCUCUCUCAGUUCGGACUGGAGUCUGCAACCCGACUCCACGAAGCUGGAUUCGCUAGUAAUCGCGCAUCAGCCACGGCGCGGUGAAUACGUUCCCGGGCCUUGUACACACCGCCCGUCAAGCCAUGGGAGCCGGGGGUACCUGAAGUGCGUAACCGCGAGGAGCGCCCUAGGGUAAAACUGGUGACUGGGGCUAAGUCGUAACAAGGUAUC